rnacentral:rRNA from 1 species
UAGGGAAUAUUAGAAAUGGACGAAAGUCUGAUCUAGCAACACCGCGUGUGCGAAGAAGGCCUUUGGGUCGUAAAGCACUUUUUGGAAGGAAUAGGAAGGAAUGUACUUCCAGAAUAAGUAUCGGCUAACUACGUGCCAGCAGCCGCGGUAACACGUAGGAGGCAAACGUUAUCCGGAUUUACUGGGCGUAAAGCGCGUGUAGGUGGUACCGUAAGUAGGGCGUGAAAGCUCCUGGCUCAACUGGGAGAGGCCGUUCUAAACUACAGAACUAGAGGAUGGUAGAGGGAGGUGGAAUUCCAGGUGUAGCGGUGGAAUGCGCAGAUAUCUGGAGGAACACCGGUGGCGAAGGCGGCCUCCUGGACCAUUCCUGACACUCAGACGCGAAAGCUAGGGUAGCAAACGG